GCCUGCCUGAUGUAGUGGUUUGAGCACUGGACUGUAACUCUGGAGAUCAGGGUUCGAAUCCCCUCAGCCA